GACGAACGCUGGCGGCGUGCUUAACACAUGCAAGUCGAACGGAAAGGCCCUGCUUUUGUGGGGUGCUCGAGUGGCGAACGGGUGAGUAACACGUGAGUAACCUGCCCUUGACUUUGGGAUAACUUCAGGAAACUGGGGCUAAUACCGGAUAGGAGCUCCUGCUGCAUGGUGGGGGUUGGAAAGUUUCGGCGGUUGGGGAUGGACUCGCGGCUUAUCAGCUUGUUGGUGGGGUAGUGGCUUACCAAGGCUUUGACGGGUAGCCGGCCUGAGAGGGUGACCGGCCACAUUGGGACUGAGGUACGGCCCAGACUCCUACGGGAGGCAGCAGUGGGGAAUAUUGCACAAUGGGCGGAAGCCUGAUGCAGCAGCGCCGCGUGCGGGAUGACGGCCUUCGGGGUGUAAACCGCUUUCGCCUGUGACGAAGCGUGAGUGACGGUAAUGGGUAAAGAAGCACCGGCUAACUACGUG
rnacentral:rRNA from 1 species